rnacentral:tRNA from 1 species
GGCAAGAUGGCCGAGCGGUCUAAGGCGCUAGGGUCAGGUACCUGAUCUCAUAUAUUCUUCGGAAUAUUCCUAGUCUCGAAAGGGGCGUGGGUUCGAAUCCCACUCUUGUCA